rnacentral:rRNA from 1 species
GACAGAGGGGGCAAGCGUUGCUCGGAAUUACUGGGCGUAAAGGGCGCGUAGGCGGCCUUCUAAGUCGGACGUGAAAUCCCUCGGCUUAACCGAGGAACUGCGUCCGAUACUGAAAGGCUUGAAUCCGGGAGAGGGAUGUGGAAUUCCAGGUGUAGCGGUGAAAUGCGUAGAUAUCAGGAGGAACACCGGUGGCGAAGGCGGAUCUCUGGGCCUUACCUGACGCUCAGGUGCGAAAGCUAGGGGAGCGAACAGG